UUAUGGAAGCUGAUAAGUGGGCAAGUUUUUCAGAAGAAACUAGUGAUUCUGAAGGCUACGGGGAGGAUCCUGACGAUGAUGACCAUUGUUGUGCAUAUGCAUCCACUGAUAUACCCAAGUUGCAGUUCAGGAAAGAUAUCUCAAGAUCACGAUGGCUUGAUCCAUUAGGAAUGGCUGAGGUCGUGGAGAGGAAGGGUGGAUUGUGGACAACUACUGGGAUAGUUCGUAAUGGCAAGAUAUAUUGCUUCAUCGAAGAGAUUUUAUAUCUUGCCGAAAUUGGGGCUCUACGUCUCCUGAGUAAAGAUGACACGCCCCUUUCUCUGGAACAUGUAUACAACAAGGUUGGAGAAGGAAAAAGUGGAUGUUCCUUGGAAUAUUAUGAAGCAUAUAAGCACUUGAAAUCUCUUGGUUAUAUAGUUAGACGUCAUGGUAUUCCUUGGUCAGUAAGAAGGUCAAAAGUAAAUUGUUUUGUUAACCAAGACACGCCGGAGCCUGCACAAAGUGGAGAUGAAGAAUCAAGAAACAGUGUUCUCAUCUCUGAAAUGAUUAAUAAUAUGCAGAUUGGUGGAUUGAGACUGGCCUUUGACGUUUACCCUCCUAAUAGCAGAUUCAGAAAGUCUGCUCCUGGUGAUCCCUGUUUUGUACUUUGUCUUGCUAGUGAGUAUCCACCUUCCAAAGAAGAAAUUGAAGAUCUUGAGAGACAUUCUCAUGGUAUUCCAUUGAAAUUCUGUCUUGUUGAGCAUGGACGUUUGAACUUUUUUUCAUUCAACAAAGUUGAGCUCCCUAUCCUUCCAUGAUCCUUUAGAGCAACAGAUACAAAUCUUGGCAUGUCCUGUGAAGAGCUAUGCAGAUUCGUCUUCUUUGCCUUCAGCGCUAACGUACGUGCUGGGGAAAUUUGCUUAAAACUGAUCCAUCUGUUAAGAUGAGGUAUGCCAGUAUUUUACUCUUUGCCAGAGCCCAGAAACACUUUAAUUUCACAACUUUAUUAGUUUUCUAUCCACCUCGUCAACUUCUAAAAGUUGUACUGUUAUAAGUGAAGUACCAAUUGAUUGGUGUUUGCAUGGUGAAUUUUUUUUCCAUGUGACAUUAUUGUGUGAGGCUCCUUUUUGUGAGACAAAAAAUUGGACCCACGGAAAAGACAUCUUUCUGUAGGGCAUAGUUAUGCAGGUAUCCAGUGAAAUAAUCGAGAUACAUGCAAAUUGACUAGUCGUUACCAUCAUUAGAAAAUAAAUGGGUCAUAGCUGUGUAGGGCAAAAACCAGAUAGAUUGAUGUUAAUUUACACAUGAAUCUAAGAUAAGACCUCUAAUGUAAACAAGUCCAUGAUCAUUAAAUGGCGAUGACAAUCAACAUGGGUUGUGGUGCAUUGGUAAAAUUGUUUCACCCUUAAUCAAAUGUCUCAAGUUCGAGUCUUGAGUAUGGAGAAAAUUAUGUUGAGAGCGCCACACCCGAAUGAAUCCUGUAGCGUGUGAUCCGAAUUUAGUCGAGGCUUCAACAUGGACUUCAGAUAGAUAGCGGAUGAUGAAAAAAUAAAAUUGGUGAUGGUCAUGGUAUUGAAAGGCAAUCAACAUAGUUGUAGUCUUCAUUAGCUGUAUAAACAUGAAUUGACAGGUAACUUCUUUUUUCAAACUGUUUGAAAGUGAAGUUUGUACUGUAGUUAUUUUUUCUU